GGGGUGUUAAAAGGCCGUUACUUCCCGAACACGGAUUUCAUGCAUGCUACUGUUCCUCGUAACGCCUCGGCCACCUGGCGAGCGAUUGUUGCCGGGAGCGCGGCACUGGAUGUUGGCCUGCUAAAGCGGCUUGGCAAUGGUUUGUCCACGCGCGUAUGGCAGGAUGGAUGGCUACCAGGCAAGCUCUCGUUGCGGCCCACUGCACAGAUCGGUUCAACACCUAUCAAUCUAGUUUCAUACCUGAUCGAUGAUGUGACUUGGUCCUGGAAAGCUGGCCUUGUUCGAGACAAUUUUAUACCACCGGAUGCUGACACUAUUUUGAAUAUUCCACUCAGACAAGGAGGUGGUGAUGAU
rnacentral:rRNA from 1 species